rnacentral:rRNA from 1 species
CAGUAGCCGCUGUAAUACGAAGGGUGCAAGCGUUACUCGGAAUUACUGGGCGUAAAGCGUGCGUAGGUGGUGGUUUAAGUCCGUUGUGAAAGCCCUGGGCUCAACCUGGGAAUUGCAGUGGAUACUGGGUCACUAGAGUGUGGUAGAGGAUAGUGGAAUUUCCGGUGUAGCAGUGAAAUGCGUAGAGAUCGGAAGGAACAUCUGUGGCGAAGGCGACUAUCUGGGCCAACACUGACACUGAGGCACGAAAGCGUGGGGAGCAAACAGGAUUAGAGACCCCCGUAGUCCCUGUCUCUUAUAC